UAGCUAGUUGGUGAGGUAAAGGCUUACCAAGGCGACGAUCUGUAGCGGGUCUGAGAGGAUGAUCCGCCACACUGGAACCGAGACACGGUCCAGACUCCUACGGGAGGCAGCAGUGGGGAAUUUUGGACAAUGGGGGCAACCCUGAUCCAGCCAUGCCGCGUGAGUGAAGAAGGCCUUCGGGUUGUAAAGCUCUUUCGGCCGGGAAGAAAUCGCAUGGGCCAAUACCCUGUGUGGAUGACGGUACCGGAAUAAGAAGCACCGGCUAACUACGUGCCAGCAGCCGCGGUAAUACGUAGGGUGCGAGCGUUAAUCGGAAUUACUGGGCGUAAAGCGUGCGCAGGCGGUUUUGUAAGACAGGCGUGAAAUCCCCGGGCUUAACCUGGGAACUGCGUUUGUGACUGCAAGGCUAGAGUACGGCAGAGGGGGGUGGAAUUCCACGUGUAGCAGUGAAAUGCGUAGAGAUGUGGAGGAACACCAAUGGCGAAGGCAGCCCCCUGGGUCGAUACUGACGCUCAUGCACGAAAGCGUGGGUAGCAAACAGGAUUAGAUACCCAGGUAGUCCACGCCCUAAACUAUGUCAACUAGGUGUUGGGUGGGUAAAACCAUUUAGUACCGUAGCUAACGCGUGAAGUUGACCGCCUGGGGAGUACGGCCGCAAGGUUAAAACUCAAAGGAAUUGACGGGGACCCGCACAAGCGGUGGACGAUGUGGAUUAAUUCGAUGCAACGCGAAAAAACCUUACCAACCCUUGACAUGCCAGGAACUUGCCAGAGAUGGCUUGGUGCCCGAAAGGGAGCCUGGACACAGGUGCUGCAUGGCUGUCGUCAGCUCGUGUCGUGAGAUGUUGGGUUAAGUCCCGCAACGAGCGCAACCCUUGUCGUUAAUUGCCAUCAUUUAGUUGGGCACUUUAACGAGACUGCCGGUGACAAACCGGAGGAAGGUGGGGAUGACGUCAAGUCCUCAUGGCCCUUAUGGGUAGGGCUUCACACGUCAUACAAUGGUCGGUACAAAGGGUUGCCAAGCCGCGAGGCGGAGCCAAUCCCAGAAAGCCGAUCGUAGUCCGGAUUGCAGGCUGCAACUCGCCUGCAUGAAGUCGGAAUCGCUAGUAAUCGUGGAUCAGCAUGUCACGGUGAAUACGUUCCCGGGUCUUGUACACACCGCCCGUCACACCAUGGGAGCGGGUUCCGCCAGAAGUAGGUAGCCUAACCGCAAGGGGGGCGCUUACCACGGCGGGGUUCGUGACUGGGGUGAAGUCGGAACAAGGUAGCCGUAGGGGAACCUGCGGCUG
rnacentral:rRNA from 1 species